UACGAGGGGGGGCAAGCGUUGUUCGGAAUUAUUGGGCGUAAAGGGUGCGUAGGCGGUCUGACAAGUCUGAUGUGAAAUCUAUGGGCUCAACCCAUAGUCUGCCAUCCGGGAAAACUGUCGGGCUUGAGUAUGGGAGAGGUGAGUGGAAUUUCCGGUGUAGCGGUGAAAUGCGUAGAUAUCAGGAGGAACACCUGUGGCGAAAGCGGCUCACUGGACCACAACUGACGCUGAUGCACGAAAGCUAGGGGAGCAAACAGG
rnacentral:rRNA from 1 species